UACAGAGGUCUCAAGCGUUGUUCGGAUUCAUUGGGCGUAAAGGGUGCGUAGGUGGCGGGGUAAGUCAGGUGUGAAAUCUCGAGGCUCAACCUCGAAACUGCACUUGAUACUGCCUUGCUCGAGUACUGGAGAGGAGAUUGGAAUUUACGGUGUAGCAGUGAAAUGCGUAGAUAUCGUAAGGAAGACCAGUGGCGAAGGCGAAUCUCUGGACAGUUCCUGACGCUGAGGCACGAAGGUCAGGGGAGCAAACGGG
rnacentral:rRNA from 1 species